rnacentral:misc_RNA from 1 species
CGCUUUUAUCAGUUUCUAGAAAGUCCUUAAUGUAAUAUACUACUUGGCUCAGACUCUCUCUUUUCUGGGUGAAAUGUUGUUUCACAUUCAUUGGAUUCUUAGAUUUUGCUGGCAUUUGUUUUUGUUCCUUCUUUUUUCUUUUAAUCUCAUUAUCAACUUUUUGGUCAUCUGUAUUAGUACUCUAAAUCAUUAAAUUCUGCUAGUAUGAG